rnacentral:rRNA from 1 species
UUGACCUCGGAUCAGGUAGGGAUACCCGCUGAACUUAAGCAUAUCAAUAAGCGGAGGAAAAGAAACCAACAGGGAUUACCUCAGUAACGGCGAGUGAAGCG